GAUGAAGAACGUAGAGAAAUGCGAUAAGUAAUGUGAAUUGCAGAAUUCAGUGAAUCAUCGAAUCUUUGAACGCACAUUGCGCCACUUGGUAUUCCGAGGGGCAUGCCUGUUCGAGCGUCAUUAUAACCCCUCAAGCUCAGCUUGGUGUUGGGGCCUGCUGCACUGGCAGCCCUUAAAAUCAGUGGCGGCGCCAUCUGGCUCUAAGCGUAGUAAUUCUUCUCGCUAUGGAGUCCUGGUGGAUGCUUGCCAUCAACCCCCAAUUUUUCUAUGGUUGACCUCGGAUCAGGUAGGGAUACCCGCUGAACUUAAGCAUAUCAAUAAGCGGAGGA
rnacentral:misc_RNA from 1 species